UGGAUAUUAGUUAAAUUUUAUAACAUUUUAUUUGCUUUAAAAAAUUAUACUUAAAUUUAUAUAUCUAU
rnacentral:tRNA from 1 species